AUGGCCGCCGCCCUGAGCCCACCUCCACUCCCCGAGGGCGAAGCCAACGACGCCACAAACUGGGUCCUCCUCGACACCCAGGGCUACAUCGCCAGAUGCCCCAACGCGACCUUCGCCGAGAGCUUCACCGGCAUCGGCUACCGCGUCGAAGUGUCUUUCUGCACCGCCCGGCCGCCCCACGUCUCCCACUUCUGCGUCCACAUCCCGGGUGUUGAACCAUCCAACUACCUGAUGGCUCCCAGGGUCAUCAGCGCGGAGGCCAAUCUCAUCCUCUUCUGCCUUUCUGUGUAUCCGCGUUACCGCGACUACUUCAUCUACCGGGCGCACCCCCGGAACCCGUCGCUGGAGCUUCUUCCGCAUCCCUACCCCAACUCCUUCGGCGACCAGGAGGUCGCCCUCCUGAGCUUCGUCGUUGACGACGAAGACGACGACGAUUACGCUGUGGCCGCUCUCACAAGCAGGUGCGACGAGGAGGACGACGGCAUGGAGAGCCCCGUCCUCCACGACGUGCCGCUGCCGCUGCCGGCAAGGGGUAACUGGAGGGGCUACCGCCAAUUCCGCCCGUACCUCAUCCGGGACAUCACCGUCAGCCUGCUCAAAGGCUCCAUCAAGUACGUCGAGAUCGAGGUCUGCCCACGGGCAGCCCCUGACCACCCGCCGGAGUCCUACGUGGAUUGGUUUGGCCAAAAGCGUCGCGAAGAGCAGCACCAGUGCGGAACGUCUUGUGCAGGCUGGAAGGCCACCACAUGGAGCCUGUCGACGUCGGUUCUUCCAUCGGCGGAUUGGAACUCUGAAUGCACCUUCCAUCUUGCUGACAUCGCUGCCGACCCAAUGCAUUCUGAGCUGCUGCCUAGGCCGCCGCACGACACCAGCGACAGCCCCGCCGAGCCAACAUUACUGCAGCAACUCAUCGUUGGUUUCCCCACCCUGAGCAUGGAUGAUGAUGUUGUCUACGUGCUGUCUAAGGGCUGCCCCAAGGGUCUGAUGGAAGUGGUGAUUGCUGUUGACAUGAGGAAGAAGAAGGUGCGAGGAGUUGCUAAGCUUGUUUCCGGAAAGGACUUCACUUUUAUGCAUUCCCACCAAAAUCGGAACCCCGUCGUGAUGGGCGACGCCGCCGACGCCCCCCGCCGGCAACGGCUGGCCUCAAUUCUCCUUGCCCGGAAACCGCGCCUCACCGACAGCAGGAACGAGACCACGGCCACAGCCGUAUCCAUGGAUGGCUUCACCAUGGCGGUCUCCUUCUGGAUGGCCGACCCGCCGCAGCUGUCCAUCUUCUCCAUCUACUGCUGCAGACCCCCUCAUCUGCAAGCCGGGCCGUACUGCAAUUUCAAAGAUUUGCCACGCGUGGUCGGCGUCGGCGCGGAGGGCCGUUUCGUCCUCUUCCGCGCCGUCUUCGACCGCCGCUACACAUCCGAAUAUUUCCUGUACAAGGCCGGCGAGUCGCCGUCGCUCGAGUGGAUUCCUUCUCCCUACGAGUACAAUGAUGGCGACCUCGAUGAUCUGCGCGGGGUCAGGGAGUUCGGCGUCCUGCAGCAGCUCGGCGGCCACUAUCUCGUGGCCGCUCUCUGCCUCGCCCCGUUGUCGGAUGACUAUCACCUUCGGAUCUACUCGUCCGAGAGAACGUCAUGGAGCACCAGGACCCCGCCCAAUCCAUGUCCUGGGGUCGACAGGAUUAUACCCAACAAGGUGAUCACUCUUGGAGAAGAAGGCCUACUAGGGUGGGUUGAUUUGUCACAGGGCCUGCUGAUGUGCGACCUGCGUCAAGAUCAUGUGCGUUUCACUUUCAUCCCGUUGCCGGAGCCGUUGCCUGGGAACAGAUACAAACUAAAAGGUCAAAUUCCCCCUCCCACCGCAAAGAGAAGCAAAAAACUAGAGGGCGAAUCUCACCCAAAUCUCUGCUGGUUUCGGGAUCUCGCAUGGGUUGAUGGCGUGCUCAAGUUUAUUGAGAUGGAGAAUCUUGCUCCUGAAAGCCGGAGCGACAAGGGUGAUGUUAUCUACGAUUCAGACUUGAUCAUGUCGCUCGAGCGCAAAGCCGUGGAUUGGCAUUGCAAGCAGCUGUCCAUUGGGGGUGCCUGGAGGGCUGUCACAUGGACUCGGACAGUUUCGUCCAAUGUUGGCGCCAGACAUGCGCUGCCAAUGUCGCUGACAUCUUGGUUGUCGACGGAUCAGCGCAUUCAUCUUUGUUGCCCGGGCUAA
rnacentral:rRNA from 1 species